rnacentral:tRNA from 1 species
GCCCCCGUAGCUCAAAGGAUAGAGCGAUGGGUUUCUAACCCAGCGGUUGCAGGUUCGAGUCCUGCCGGGGGUACCA